rnacentral:rRNA from 1 species
CGGAGAAGGGGCCUGAGAAAUGGCCACUACGUCUAAGGAUGGCAGCAGGCGCGCAAAUUACCCACUCUCGGCUCGAGGAGGUAGUGACGAGAAAUAACGAGACUGUUCUCUUUGAGGCCGGUCAUCGGAAUGGGUACAAUUUAAACCCUUUAACGAGUAUCAAGCAGAGGGCAAGUCUGGUGCCAGCAGCCGCGGUAAUUCCAGCUCUGCAAAUACAUAGAAUUAUUGCUGCGGUUAGAAAGCUCAUAGUUGGAUUCGUAUCGAUACCUUGGAACCCUUCGGGUGUCUCUAGGUGUUAUCGAUUUAUCGUAAUGUUCGGUUUUGAGUCCUUAACAGGAUUCUUAACAGGCAUUGCAAGUUUACUUUGAACAAAUCAGAGUGCUUCAAACAGGCGUUUUCGCUUGAAUGAUCGUGCAUGGAAUAAUAGAAAAUGAUUUCGGUUCAGUUUUAUUGGUUUUACGGACUGAGAUAAUGGUUAACAGAGACAAACGGGGGCAUUUGUAUGGUCCCGUGAGAGGUGAAAUUCUUGGACCGUGGCCAGACAAACUACAGCGAAAGCAUUUGCCAAGAAUGUUUUUAUUAAUCAAGAACGAAAGUCAGAGGUUCGAAGGCGAUCAGAUACCGCCCUAGU